AGUCAAGUAAUUAAGUGCAUGUGGUGGAUGCCUUGGCAGUCAGAGGCGAUGAAAGACGUGAUAGCCUGCGAAAAACUCCGGGGAGGCGGCAAAUAUCCUUUGAUCCGGAGAUGUCUGAAUGGGGGAACCCACCUACUUUAAGGUAGGUAUUGCAACAUGAAUACAUAGUGUUGCAAGGCGAACGAGGGGAAGUGAAACAUCUCAGUACCCUUAGGAAAAGAAAUCAAUUGAGAUUCCCUCAGUAGCGGCGAGCGAACGGGGAUCAGCCCAUUAAGUUAUGUGUGUUUUAGUGGAACGCUCUGGGAAGUGCGAACGUAGAGGGUGAUAUUCCCGUACACGAAAGGGCACACAUAAUGAUGACGAGUAGGGCGAGGCACGUGAAACCUUGUCUGAAUAUGGGGGGACCAUCCUCCAAGGCUAAAUACUCCUGACUGACCGAUAGUGAACCAGUACCGUGAGGGAAAGGCGAAAAGAACCCCUGUGAGGGGAGUGAAAUAGAUCCUGAAACCGCAUGCAUACAAGCAGUGGGAGCACCUUCGUGGUGUGACUGCGUACCUUUUGUAUAAUGGGUCAGCGACUUAUAUUCAGUAGCAAGGUUAACCGUAUAGGGGAGCCGUAGAGAAAUCGAGUCUUAAUAGGGCGUUUAGUUGCUGGGUAUAGACCCGAAACCAGGCGAUCUAUCCAUGAGCAGGUUGAAGGUUGGGUAACACUAACUGGAGGACCGAACCCACUGUCGUUGAAAAGCCAGGGGAUGACUUGUGGAUAGGGGUGAAAGGCUAAUCAAGCCUGGUGAUAGCUGGUUCUCCCCGAAAGCUAUUUAGGUAGCGCCUCGGACGAAUACCAUAGGGGGUAGAGCACUGUUUCGGCUAGGGGGUCAUCCCGACUUACCAAACCGAUGCAAACUCCGAAUACCUAUGAGUACUAUCCGGGAGACAGACUGCGGGUGCUAACGUCCGUAGUCAAGAGGAAAACAAUCCAGACCGCCAGCUAAGGCCCCAAAAUCAUAGUUAAGUGGGAAACGAUGUGGGAAGGCAUAGACAGCUAGGAGGUUGGCUUAGAAGCAGCCACCCUUUAAAGAAAGCGUAAUAGCUCACUAGUCGAGUCGGCCUGCGCGGAAGAUGUAACGGGGCUAAAACUAUGUGCCGAAGCUGCGGAUUUGACUUUGUAAGUGGUAGGGGAGCGUUCUGUAAGCCGAUGAAGGUGUGUUGAGAAGCAUGCUGGAGGUAUCAGAAGUGCGAAUGCUGACGUGAGUAACGACAAAACGGGUGAAAAACCCGUUCGCCGAAAGACCAAGGGUUCCAGUCCAACGUUAAUCGGGGCUGGGUGAGUCGACCCCUAAGGCGAGGCCGAAAGGCGUAGUCGAUGGGAAAAUGGUUAAUAUUCCAUUACUUCUGUGUAAUGCGAUGAGAGGACGGAGAAGGCUAAAUCAGCCUGGCGUUGGUUGUCCAGGUGAAAGGAUGUAGGCAUGUAUCUUAGGCAAAUCCGGGGUACUCUAUGCUGAGAUCUGAUAGCAAGCUGUACUUGUACAGCGAAGUGGUUGAUGCCAUGCUUCCAGGAAAAGUCUCUAAGCUUCAGUUACACAGGAAUCGUACCCGAAACCGACACAGGUGGUCAGGUCGAGUAGACCAAGGCGCUUGAGAGAACUCUGCUGAAGGAACUAGGCAAAAUGGUACCGUAACUUCGGGAGAAGGUACGCUGUUGUUGGUGAUGGAACUCGCUUCCUGAGCUGACGACAGCCGCAGAAACCAGGCCGCUGCAACUGUUUAUUAAAAACAUAGCACUCUGCAAACACGAAAGUGGACGUAUAGGGUGUGAUGCCUGCCCGGUGCUGGAAGGUUAAUUGAUGGGGUUAGCGUAAGCGAAGCUCUUGAUCGAAGCCCCAGUAAACGGCGGCCGUAACUAUAACGGUCCUAAGGUAGCGAAAUUCCUUGUCGGGUAAGUUCCGACCUGCACGAAUGGCAUAAUGAUGGCGGCGCUGUCUCCAGCAGAGGCUCAGUGAAAUCGAAAUCGCUGUGAAGAUGCAGUGUACCCGCGGCUAGACGGAAAGACCCCGUGAACCUUUACUGCAGCUUGACACUGAACUUUGACCUUACUUGUGUAGGAUAGGUGGGAGGCUUUGAAGCUGGAACGCUAGUUCCAGUGGAGCCGUCCUUGAAAUACCACCCUGGUAAUGUUGAGGUUCUAACUCUGUCCCGUGAUCCGGGACGAGGACCGUGUCUGGUGGGUAGUUUGACUGGGGCGGUCUCCUCCUAAAGAGUAACGGAGGAGUACGAAGGUGCGCUCAGCGUGGUCGGAAAUCACGCGUAGAGUAUAAAGGCAAAAGCGCGCUUAACUGCGAGACCCACAAGUCGAGCAGGUACGAAAGUAGGUCUUAGUGAUCCGGUGGUUCUGUAUGGAAGGGCCAUCGCUCAACGGAUAAAAGGUACUCUGGGGAUAACAGGCUGAUACCGCCCAAGAGUUCAUAUCGACGGCGGUGUUUGGCACCUCGAUGUCGGCUCAUCUCAUCCUGGGGCUGAAGCAGGUCCCAAGGGUAUGGCUGUUCGCCAUUUAAAGAGGUACGCGAGCUGGGUUUAGAACGUCGUGAGACAGUUCGGUCCCUAUCUACCGUGGGCGCUGGAAAUUUGAGAGGAUCUGCUCCUAGUACGAGAGGACCAGAGUGGACGAACCUCUGGUGUACCGGUUGUGACGCCAGUCGCAUCGCCGGGUAGCUAUGUUCGGAAGGGAUAACCGCUGAAAGCAUCUAAGCGGGAAGCCUACCUCAAGAUAAGAUUUCCCUAGGACUUUAUGUCCUCUAAAGAGCCGUUCGAGACUAGGACGUUGAUAGGUUGGAUGUGGAAGCAUAGUGAUAUGUGAAGCUGACCAAUACUAAUUGCUCGUGAGGCUUGACUAU
rnacentral:rRNA from 1 species